rnacentral:lncRNA from 1 species
CCAAGGUCAUGACAGGCAAGCAAAGAUUGAAGAAAGCUUCCAGAUUAAAGAAGACUGAGGAAACUCAACAGCCAAAUGCUCUCAGCCUCCUGUGUGCAAGCAGAGUUGCUAUGGUGCCAUCGCUUGUACUUGCAUCUGACACUUCUGCGUUAGAGACCACCAGUCAAAAUCCUCAGUGGGCUUACGAGCAGAAUCCAGACCCAUCUCAGCCCCCAUCCGCUCCCACCUACCAUCUGGAUCUCCCUGCAGUGAUGGGAGCAGCAGGAGAAAGCAGAAAGAAACAUCUCCCCGCCCCCACCCCCUCCACCAUUAACUGCUGCAACCACCAGAAGCAGGAUCUAGAAAAAGAAGCCCCGAAGUCAUGAUUUUCCUCCAUUUUCCGCACCUUGCUGACCUGACAAGAACUUUAAGAGAUCCUCUGCCAUGCUGUGAACUGCUCUAUGGAGAGCCUCAUGUGGAAAGGAACUGAUGUCUCCAGCCAACAGCCACAUGAAUGAAUUUAGAAGUGGAUCUUCCAUCAUUUGAGACUUGAGAUGACAGCAGUCCCAGACAAGCCCUUAACUGCAAACUUGUGAGAGGCCCUGAGCCAGAGAGCACAAGUAUCAGUUUUUCACUCAGUGGAGACAGCCGCCCACAAUUGCAGUUUCACCUCCAGUUUGACUGAGCAUUUCACCCAGCUUUGAUCAUCUGCGGUCAGGAAGGAAUUCGCUUCUCCUUUGGAUCUCUCCCGGAGGAGAGAAAACAAUAAACUUCCCACCAGCUUUCAAGCCAAGGAUUUCUCAUUAGCCACAGCUUCAGGCCGUUCGUUCUUGGCCCACACCCAGGAUGCCUCUGGAUACAUCAGGCUAAAGCCUUGUUCUCUCUUCACCUCCAAGAUUGCUGGAUCACUGGGCUGUGAGCUGCUCUGAUAUUCUG